UCAUCCCUGCUCAAGAUGGCGGACGAGCAGCAGCAGCAGCGGGGAGAGGAGGAGGCGGAGGAGACGACGCCGGCAGCAGCAGCAGCGGCGGCGGCGGCGCGAGCAGCCGCUCAGGCCAAAGCGCGGCCCAAGAAGAUCCAGUUCGCGGACCAACUGCAGGAGGUGAGCAAGCGGCCCAUGAAGACGGGAGUGGCCGCGUACUCGCGCUCCAUCUCGCAGUCUUCGGCGGACAGCUACAGCUCCGCGUCUUUCUCGGAGAGCGAGGAUGAGGUUUCCCCGAGGGAGAAGCGACAGUCGAACUCCAAGAGCAGCUCAGACUUCUGUGUGAAGAACAUCAAGCAAGCCGAGUUCGGCCGCAGAGAGAUCGAGAUUGCCGAGCAAGAGAUGCCGGCUCUGAUGGCGCUGAGGAAGCGGGCCCAGGGGGACAAGCCCCUGGCUGGAGCCAAGGUGGUCGGCUGCACACACAUCACGGCGCAGGCGGCGGUGCUGAUAGAGACUCUGUGUGCCCUCGGGGCGCAGUGUCGCUGGGCAGCCUGCAACAUCUUCUCCACGCACGAUGAAGUGGCGGCUGCACUCGCCGAGUCUGGCUUCUCGGUGUUUGCUUGGAAGGGAGAGGCGGAGGAUGACUUCUGGUGGUGUAUCGACCGCUGCAUUAACGUCGAGGGCUGGCAACCGAACAUGAUCCUGGAUGACGGCGGGGACCUCACCCACUGGAUGUACAAGCAGUACCCGUCAAUGUUCCGCACCGUGCGGGGCAUCGUGGAGGAGAGUGUCACGGGCGUGCACAGGCUGUACCAGCUGUCCAAGGCCGGCAAGCUGUGCGUGCCAGCUGUCAAUGUUAAUGAUUCGGUCACCAAGCAGAAGUUUGAUAACCUGUACAGCUGCCGGGAGUCCAUUCUUGAUGGUCUCAAACGGACUACAGACAUUAUGUUUGGCAGUAAGCAGGUGGUGGUGUGCGGAUAUGGAGAGGUGGGCAAGGGCUGCUGCUCUGCACUGAAAGCGCUGGGUGCCGUGGUUUACGUCACGGAGAUGGAUCCAAUAUGUGCCCUGCAGGCCUGCUUAGAGGGCUACCGGAUUGUGAAACUCGCGGAGAUCGUGCGUCAAGCAGACAUCAUCAUCACCUGCACAGGCAACAAGAACGUGGUGACACGCGAGCACCUGGACCGGCUGAAGAACGGCUGCAUCGUGUGCAACAUGGGCCACUCCAACACGGAGAUCGACGUGGCGAGCCUGCGCAGUCCUGAUCUCACGUGGGAGCGAGUGCGAACUCACGUGGACCAUGUGACUUGGCCCGAUGGAAAGCGCCUCGUUCUGCUGGCCGAGGGCCGUCUUCUGAACCGUAGCAGCUCGAGUGUGCCCUCGUUUGUGCUGUCCAUCACAGCCACCACACAGGCGCUGGCUCUAAUUGAACUGUACAAUGCUCCAGACGGACGCUACAAACAGGAUGUGUAUUUACUGCCGAAGAAGAUGGACGAGUACGUGGCGAGUCUGCACCUGCCAACAUUUGAUGCUCAUCUCACCGAGCUCACAGACGACCAAGCAAAGUAUCUGGGGAUGAGCAAGAAUGGUCCUUUCAAGCCAAACUAUUACAGAUAUUGACGCAGACCAAGAGGUGGAGCUGACCCCAGGCUGGGCAGUGGAGGCGACCUCCACGGCACGGUGUGCUGCAUCGGCGACCGUAAUCAUGAGCCCCCUGGUGGUGGUUAUAAUCAUUCAGCUUCGUGUAGCCACCUUCCUGCAGCCGCGGCCCCCCCGGGGCACCACUGACGUCCACUGUGCUAGUACAAUAGAGAGGUUUGUGUUCAUGUUUUUUUAUUUGCCAGGACAGAGGGCGUGUGUGUGUGUGGAACACGAUUGAAUAUGUGUUGAAUGAAAACCCUUUCAUCUUUACUGCCAGGACAAAGUGGGUGGCCCGGAUAUCACCAGACACAUUUGAACCAAGUUAAAUGAUAUUGUUAUUAUCUCAACACUCAUUCAUGGAGUUGUUGAAACAACCAAAUAUAGGAUCACAGAGCUUGGGCAAUUGUCAAUUCUGGCUGCCUUCCUGCUCGUCUGGGGUUUCCCCACGGUGGCGUGACGCGGUGUGCACCCGUAACGACGCUCGAUACAAAUACAGCAAUUAUCAUUCCUAUUCUCACUAAAACAGCGACAUUUCAUCACAUUUUCAGGGACUAUUACGAAUAUGCAGAAAUGCCUCGGGGUGGGAAAAAUAUUUUAUCAUCGAAUGUUUUCAGAAAGUGAAAACGCCUGACGCGCGCGUUGACGAUUCCGCGGUUAGAUGUAGCACAGCGACGUGCGCGUGUUGUCGUAGAGAGUAGUGUCGCCUUAGCGUGCGUCUCCGCUUCAGUGCUAGCGCUGUGUUUCGCAUUGAGAAGCGAAUCGACUCUUCUGUCAAUGCAAGCUGAGGGCAAAUCAAGUUGCCCUUCUCCCCUACCAACGUUACACAAGGUGCAAUUUGUCACAUUUCCAGUGUGUACGUAUGUAGAACUUCUCUCGCACCAUACGUAGGCAACCGUGGUAACCGGAGGUGCGGGGAAAGGACAACAAACUAAACAUGUACGUGUGUUGAACUUCUUUCGCACCGUACGUAGACAAACGUGCUAAUCAGAGGUGCGGGGAAGGACAACAAACUAAACACGUAUGUAUGUUGAAGCUUCGCACCUUCCGUAGCCAACCGUGCUCAUCGGAGGGAGGCCUUUGUGCAAUAAUAGAUUGACACAUAACUGAUAGCAACAAUAUUAAUUAUGACACACAUAGCAGGUGAAUUAUAUUGCCUUACUGUGGGAUACGCACUUUGAACUAAUUAUACUGAUGCAUAUUAGCUUGGGAAGCCUCGCAGGGUCUCAAGACACAAUUUCCGCAGGAUCUUGCUACAUUGGGAUGUUCGGUUAAUUCCAGCAACGAGAGUUUGGCUUCUUGCGAGAGGUAACCGGAGAACGUGGAGAAAAGGCAGCACAGAGGAGUGGGUCACACUUAAAGCUCCACCCAGAUGGAUUCAAUAAUCCAUUGCUGUACUGCCAUCUUCUGGCCAGCCCCUACACUACAGCACCUGCUAGUCCCAAGCACCCUCGCGCUCGACCACGAUCCAGGCUAUCGGCCCGGCUGCUGGCGGCAAUGUCCAAUCGCUGAGGGCAGCGGUCUACGCGCACCCUCCCAUCACAUCACCCCCCAUCUCCCUACCCCAUCACAUCAACCCCUAUCUCCCCAUCACCACCCCACUAUCACCUCCCACCCCCCUCCCAUCAAAUCGCACCUUGCACGUUGGUUAGCCGCAGGCUGGAAUUGCAAUCCAGAGGUCGCCAUUUCCAUGCAGUCUCGCGGUGCGACAGGUGAAACAACGUGGCAAGUUUCUCUUAUCCCUCCCACGGCCGUUUCAAUCUGGCCAGCGGUAUAAAUAGGUGCACCACAGUCGAUUUUGGCAGGUCGCGUGUGUUGGGGUAAAUUGUGGGCACGCCCACCUCUUCCAAACACGUCUGGUCGGCGUGGACAAGCAGAUCAAUACCGCUUGAGAAUUGCCUCGAGUGGAGGCCAUUCUGGCAAGCGGCGGCGUGAGCGAGCAAUUGCGCGCAACUCUCCCCCGUCAGCCAGUACCCAGCUGUAGCCUUGUCCGUGCAUGAGGGUCCUGCGUGAGUCCACUGUUCGCCAUCUGUUGUGCGCGCACACGAGGGGAUCGCCGCCACAUCCCCAACAUUACCACAGCCCCCUGGCUGCAGCUCCGCACGAUCCAUAGUGGAUUUAAAUCGCCACUGUUUAACGCGCGUAAACUGCCGGAUGCAGUGUAAUAAUUACAGCGUAUCAAUUGUGACACUUUGUUUACCCAGGAAAGCCUCACUGAGGCCCCGAGACUUCCUCAGGAGGGUCCUGUCGUGUUUUCUGAGUGUCGGGCAAAGUCGCGCCGUAUUUCCCAGUUGAGUCGGUUUCAGAGUCAUUUCUCAUAUUUGGGCCAUGCUUCUGGGCGCCCCUGACACGGACGUGCUCCAACACUGAAGCGUGAAAACCCAGGUCUAGUCCUCGAUUCCUGGGAUGAAAGUGGAGCCCCCUUUCAAGCAUCCACGUGUGCAGAGGCAGCAAUCGGCAGCGCUUUGGUAACGCGUUAUCCGCCGGUUUGCUUCCAGUGCCAAAUAACAUUCACAUUCUGUCACUCGGGGGCGCGCCUCAUAACUCGCACGAGAGCUUUAAAUCGAAAAGCAAUGCCUCUGUUUACGGACAAGAAUCAAACGCGUCACACAAUGCGCAAAGGGGCGAUUUGGGGUGGGGGGAGAGGUGGAGGGUAUCAAUUUGCCCGAAAAUGUUUAAUUAUCAUGAUGAUUGCGUCAAAAUUGAAAUACUUCCCGUCGACAGCGUCUCACGUCAUGAGGAUCUUGACGAGUACAUUUCCGUUGUUACUGUGUCUGCAAAUAAACACGGCUAUUGCA